AUCAGGAACCAUGGCUCACUGGAGCACCAUCUUUGGAGUCUAGCUAACACAGCAUCUUGGAUGCACUCCUAAGAGAAGACUACCUGAAAGGCGUGUACACUGGUCUAGCAGUUGAGAUCAGCUAGUGUUCCAUCUAUCUUCUGUCAUGUGGAGGAGUUCUUGCUCUGUCACCUAGUCUGGAAUGCAAGGGCACAAUCAUAGCUCACUGCAGCCUCAUACUCCUGGACUCAAAUGAUCCUCCUGCCUCACCCUCCUGAGUAGUUGGGACUACAGGCAUGUGCCACCAUGCCUGGCUAAUUUAUUUUUAUUUAUUUUUAUUUUUUUAGAGAUGAGGUCUUUUUAUAUUGCCCAGGCUGGUCUCAAACUGGCCUCAAGCUAUCCUACUGCCUCAGCCUCCCGAGUAGGUGGGAAUAUUCUAAAUAUUUUCUUCCAGCUAUUUUGAAAUAUACAAUAAAUUAUUGUUAUUAAUAGUUGCCCUACCAUGCUAGCAAACACUAGAACUUAUUUCCUUUAUCUAACUGUAUUUUUGUGCCCAUUAACCAACCUGUCUUCAUCCCCUAAUACUCUGUACUCUUCCCAGACUCUGUUGCUCUAAUUCUUAAGCCUGUUUCCUCUUUUGAUAAACCUAAACGCUCAAGGCUUUCUUAAAGACAGGACUUUUCUCCCUCUGAUCCUGGAAAUUAUGAAAAGAGCUGCCACUAAACCUCCCACUGGAAAUCACUGACCCAUGCUACAUGCAGACUUCCUUUGCAUCUGGGCUCACAACAUAUUCCUAUUUCUUUCAUCUUAACAUGGCAAUGGUGAGAAGAGGCAAGGAAUAAAAACCUAAAGGAGAAAAGAGACAAGUAAAAUAAUAGAUUUUCUCCAAAACUUACCAAAGAGAUGACUAAACCCAUUGAUUUCACCUGUAAGCAUCCCCAAGAUAAAGAUCUCUUCCAAGCUGCAGACAGCUUUUUUCUCCUUGCACACCGAUUUCAGGGUCCUUGCACACUGAUUUCAGGGAAUUUGUAAUUCAAAAGAGAAUUAAACACUUUUGAAGCAGGAUACCAAAAUAAAAAAUGUAAAGAGAAAGCAGGCUACAUGGAGGAAAGCACAUUUAAUGCUGAUAAUUAGCAUCUAAAAACUGGAUACCUUAGUUCCUUGACAUCAAGUUUUCUGCUUGACCCAAAUGAUAACUUGUUCUCCUAGGGGUUGAAGUAGAUUAGAGCAAGAAAGUUGUAAAAUUAACAGUGGUAAAAACAGAGACAUUGCAAACAAUGUUCUCUUUGCUUUUUAAUGAAAACAUUCUAAGCAUUUAAAUGGUUAAAAAAAUGCUAGUUAUAAGCAUGUCUUCCUUUAUAGCUUAUGUCUUUCCUUGGGGCAUAUUCUGUUCAUUUUGCUUACUUGUUCUCUGGUCUGCAGUUUUAUACAACAAUUCACCACAGAGAUCCCUGGGUUAAGUAGUGAGGGAAAUCAUUCUACCUUAAGCAUGUUAAGUUUGGAUGAAGGCACAGAAAUCUAGAAGAAAUCGAAACUUACAAUUGUGCUUAAUUGGCUUUAACCCUUCAACAUAUUGUGUAGAAGUACAUUGGGUAAUAACAUAUACUGUUUCACUGUGCAUACGUUAAAAUGUGAAAUCCUUUAAAUGCAAACAGCACUUGUCACUCCAUCAACUAUUCAAAUUGUCAGAGAUGUAUCAACUAACCCUAGCUACCCUCUGCAGGCGAUCUGGAGCCAGCCUGCUGUUUAAUAACCAGCAUUUAACAAGAAAUAACAUGUAGAUGUGGUGUGUGGUUUAAAACAUUGUGUUAAGCAUCAUUAAAACUCAGUCUCCUAAGAGCCUUAUUAAGAGUCCUUUCCUCACCAUAAUAAAACAUUUCUCUGUGACUGUUUCGAUCUAGUUGCUAACAAUACAAACAAAAUGCCUCUUAAUUUAACAUCCCACUAGAGGGCCAUUGUGAUUGUAGAACUGUAAAGGCAGGGAGAAAAAAAAAACCUAAACCACCCUUCCCAAGUCCCACCUAAAAUCAGUGAAACGGAAGCACUGGGAGCCGUUGAUUUUAGGAUUUAUUUUUACAGUUUUUUCCCCUUUCCUUUCACUCGGUGUGUGGUUAUUAUUUGGGGCUGUGUCUUUGUUCAGUACUAUUAUGGAAGUUUGCCGAUGACUUAGAAAUGGGCCCUGCCUCACGGAGUCAGCAAUACCAGUUGUUGGAUGGGCUGGUGCUGUUCCCAAGACAAUGCGUACAUGAAACUUCUAUAAAAAUUCAUGUGAUCUUGAUGCUAACAUUUAUUUGAAAAGAAAAUGAAAUUUGCUUACCCUACAAUUAGCCUGAAGUUCUCUCAUCCUGUUAUUACACAAGAAAAUACAUGCAUAAUUGUGUCAAUUAAUAGAGAUAGUAAUUCAAAUCUUCUGUGACAGAAACACAGAACAAUCCAAUUCUGUUUCAGAUCUUCCUCCUUUGAAAAUGUGUAUGCCAGUUUUCUUGGCACAACUAUCCUCACUGCUGUAUAGACAGUUACAGAGUUAACAAAAUCGACAAACCACAAAAAUAUUUUGAUAGAGGAUGCUAACAAAUUAGAUUUAGGGGAAUCUCAUUCUAAUAUUUCAAUCUAUUGAAUAGUUCUGCUAAGCCUGCAAUAUGUAAAGUGAGUCAAGUGAAAAUAUUUUAAGUGACCAGUUGAUUGAACUUGACCUUUGCUUUCUUUUGAAAUGGACCACCAAGAAAGAAGAAAGUAUUUUAUCUCAUUUUUAGUUAAUCUUGCC
rnacentral:lncRNA from 1 species